rnacentral:rRNA from 1 species
UGAGUAACACGUGAGUGACCUNCCUUUAGACUGGAACAACUUACCGAAAGGUGAGCUAAUGCCGGAUGAGUUAUAUAAGUGCAUGUUUAUAUAGGAAAAGUUGGGGAGACCUGACGCUGAAAGAUGGACUCGCGUCCCAUUAGCUAGUUGGUAGGGUAAUGGCCUACCAAGGCGACGAUGGGUAGCCGGCCUGAGAGGGUGGCCGGCCACACUGGGACUGAGACACGGCCCAGACUCCUACGGGAGGCAGCAG